AACGAACGCUGGCGGCAUGCCUAACACAUGCAAGUCGAACGAGACCUUCGGGUCUAGUGGCGCACGGGUGCGUAACGCGUGGGAACCUGCCCUUAGGUUCGGAAUAAAUCCCCGAAAGGGGUGCUAAUACCGGACAAUGUCUUCGGACCAAAGGUUUAUCGCCUUUGGAUGGGCCGGCGUUGGAUUAGCUAGUUGGUAGGGUAAAAGCCUACCAAGGCGACGAUACAUAGCUGGUCAGAGAGGAUGAUCAGCCACACUGGGACUGAGACACGGCCCAGACUCCUGCGGGAUGGAGCAGUGGGGAAUACUGGACAAUGGGCGAAAGCAUGAUCCAGCAAUGCCUCGUGAGUGAUGAAGGCCUUAGGGUUGUAAAGCGCUUUUACCCGGCAUGAUAAUGACAGUACCGGGAGAAUAAGCUCCGGCUAACUCCGUG
rnacentral:rRNA from 1 species